rnacentral:rRNA from 1 species
GAAACCGUUUAGGGGUAAACCUGAGAAACCCGAAAGGUCGAAGGAAGAAAUUCAUUCGUGCCCGAUAAGGUUAUUAUGCAAAUAUGGUGUCGAUUUAUGAACUUGUUCAUUUUUUGCCCUAUUGUAUGAUAUAUGUACUUUGUUGGACGCGUGCACUUUUCUUCUGGUAGGACGUCGCGAUCCGUUGGGUGUUGAUCUACGAUUUAAGUGGUAGCCCAUUUUAGAUAAACCUUAAAGUUUAUUUAGAAUGGACCCUUAGAAUUUGAUCAACUGGCUCGACGGUAUAUCUGAUGGUUUUAGGACGCUUUAUUUUAAAGAGCGUUCAGCUUGUAACAAGCACGUUAAAUGUUUUGGUACAUCGGACCUAGUGCCGUGUCUGAUCCUUAACGUCUGUUGGUUACUUUUGUCUUGAACAGUUCUUAAAACCGAUCAGCGACGAUAUAGCUUUGGGUAAUUUCAGGACCCGUCUUGAAACACGGACCAAGGAGUCUAGCAUGUACGCAAGUCAUUGGGAAACACAAAACCUAAAGGCGUAAUGAAAGUAAACGUUUUCCUUUACGGUUAACGAUGGGAGGAUGGUCAUUGUUUAACAAUAAUGUUCAGCACUCCCGGGGCGUCUCAUUCUCAUUAUGAGAAGAGGCGCACCAUGAGCGUACACGCUGGGACCCGAAAGAUGGUGAACUAUGCCUGGUC